UGAGCAAUCUGCCCUUCUCAUCGGAAUAAGCGUUGGAAACGACGUCUAAUGCCGAAUACGACCUCCUUUCACAUGAUCGGAGGUGGAAA
rnacentral:rRNA from 1 species